GCCGAGAGGCGGCUAUAAUAAACCAGACAAAGGCGCAGGGCUGGGGAGGAGCCCGGAGUUUGCGCCCGGGGAGGUGGGAAGGGGAGGCUCGUCGGAGAGCGGCGACCCUGGCGAACAAAAAGCGACCCGGUCUCCUGCGCGGUCCUCUCUCCCGAAAAGGGAGGGCGGAGACGCGGGGAGCAAGCGGACGCCUCCCCGCACCGCAGAAGCGGGACACAAAAGCGCCGUGGGUUUCCGAGCGCUCCCUCGGCUGAGGGCUCCGCUCCGCAAGAUUUACUUUAAGACGCAGCUGAAGGAAACAGGAAGACUGCACGUCACAGUCCGACUGACGUACCCGGCCCCAGCACCCAAUCGCGAGGCGCCUUCGGAUUCAAGGGGGGACGGCGAGGCAAGAGAACUUGGGAGGAAAAAAAUAUAUAAAAGGGGUGGGUGUGGGGGUGCGGGCUGGGGAGAGAGGAGGGAGAGCGGAGCGGCGGCUCCUCCCCGGCCCCCUCCCCGGCCGCGCUGCUCCGGGCGCUGCGACGCCGGCCGGGCCGCCGAGAGCCAUCUGCGGGCCGCGCGCCGCUCCCGGGCAGCCGGUCCUCGCCGCCGUGUACGCGCGUGUGUGUGUGUGCGCGCGUGUGUGUGCUUGUGCGUGUUUUUUUCCAUUUCCCAGAUACAGCUGAUCGGGUUCGCCCCGCGCCCCAGCGAGCGAGGGAGCGAGCGCUCCUCGGACUCGGGUGGAGGAAGGCACGGAAAAGUAUACUGGAGACAAAGUGGGGCUUUUCGGGGUGGCGGUGAUGCAGAAGGAGGGAGUGGAGGGUCCACAAAUCAGUCCGUUUUUAGAGCGAUCCUGGGUAGGAGCCGCAAUACAUGUCACGCUUCCUUUUAAAGAGGGGGUGGACUGUGAGAUGCAGGUAGGUCUGGGAUUAAAAUGAUACGUGCGGAGGUUUAACGCUGAGCUCGCUGCAUCCGAUAUAAAGGAGCAACACUGGCUGAGCCCCAGUCAACCACCAGCAAGAUUACUGGGAACAAGAAUAUUUACACCCCCACCACCACCACCACCUCUGACAGGGUCCCUGGGACUAUGGAUACAGCAGCUAUUUAAAAGUAUAUGUUACAAACAUUAUCUCGCUCAGUGUCCCCAGACCGACUCAGGAGCGCAGUCCAACACUGGAUUUACACGAUUUUGACACCUGGGUAACAAAGUUUAAAGUUUAUUAGGCAAGACAUAUCAAACGCUAGAAUCUCAGACUCCAACUUGAAACCGAAGAAAGUUCAUUUUGGCUUGACUUUCUGAGAUGAGAAAUACCCAGCACGGGUUCUCUAGAUAAGGCAGCUCUGGGCUUUGCAAGGUAACAGACGCUGAAGAGAGAGCCUCCAGCCACAGAGAGAAGAUGCCUUUCGCUGGGGACAGUAAACGGCUUUUAAUAAAGCAGGCGAGUUUAUCACUUAAAGAUCCUAUAAAAGCUAGGGCUCGCAGGAGCUGGGAAGUAGAAACUUUCAUGCCUACUCCAGUAGAUGCAUGUUUUUUAGGUUGAACGGGGACCAGCAGUUUUCCUGCGUCCCUCACAUUUAGUCAGAUCAAAGGUUGAAUCGUGUGUUGUGACAAGAGUAUUUAUGAGGUUCGUUGCUAGAACCCCAGGCUGGCUGGCUAUUACCACCAUCUUCUGCGACGGGGGGGGGGGGGGACACCACGCCUUUCUAGGACAUUUACAAUUUCAGCUUCAGGUUCAUCAAACUGUGAAGAGAUAGGAAGUCUCCUCUUUGAAUCAGAACAGCGGUGUUAGUAUGUCACAGUGUAUACUCUGUGGGAAACUUUAGGCACGGAAUUCAAACGUUAAGAAGAGGAGGAGGAAGAGGAGGAGGAAUAAUAAGGUCAACCAGGUUGGUGUCAGCAAUAAGAAAGGCUUUCAGGAGCAUCACCAGCCCUCUGCAGGCCCUUUCCCGCCCCCAGACACCCCUCCCUCCACCGUGCAAAUGCUCACCCUCACACUCAUGCCUCCAGCGAUCGCUAGGCUAGUGUAUCCAGUGUUCUAAUGGGGACGUGACAGUUUAGGCUGGGAACUGAAAUGGCUCCCAACAUGCCCAUGAGCUGCAGUGUGGAAUAAUAAUGCUUCUAUUGGUUGGGUCCCUUUCGAGGGACUUGUAAAUGGGAGCAGAGGAUGAUGGAAUGAAUCAGCCAGGAUCUCACAAACACAGGUAGAUGGUGCUAAGCAAAGAAAAAGCUGAGAAUUAGACGCUCUGAUCAGAGGAAACCAUUCGCUGCUUUCAGGAGGACAGAGAGUUCCUUGGCACUGGAGUGCUGCCGAGGAGGAGCAGUGGGUGCUCUGAGGAGGAGAGGGAUCAUCCCACGCUUCCUCGAUCCAUCUUGAUCUCUUCCUGUCACUGCAUAUCACUGCCAAUGGUGGGAGAGAGAUGGAGUUUGAGUUGAAGGAAAAGUGCAGAAGUGAGGUCCUCUCUGGAUCUGGAGAAGGGUCUGCUGGAAAAAAAAUUUUGAGGGAGUUUACUGUUUGUGCAAGGUGACUGGCUGAGUAAAGAAGACCAAAGUAUUUUUUAUCUGCAGAACAAAUAAGGCCUGGUCAAAGCACACAGUGGGAAGUCAGGAAAUGGCAGCAGCGGCACCCGGAGCAAGUGUCUGCCAGGAGAUGCUGCCAGAAGCCUUGCGCCCUGGGCCACCAGGUCCAGAAAAAUGAGGAACUUCUGACAAAUGAGAGAAAUGUAAAGCCUUGAGUGACCCCCCACCCAGAGGUGCCCGAACUGCUGCUGCUGCUGAGGCAGGGGAGCACAGAUCUCCACCUUUUGCUGUCUCACAUACGUCCAGGGAACUGCUUGGCUGCACCCUCUGGAUCUGGGCUGCAGGAGCCUUGAUCCCGUCUCCUCCAUGUACCAGCUGGCGACCCGGGUCAUGUUGCUUGGGCCUCCCUGCCUGAGCCUCUCCAUGGCCCAGGGCAGGUUCACAGUAAGACAGCCCAGUGCCACUGUGUGAGUUUACAACCGGGCCUGCUUCAUAGUAAGCACCAGCUUCCUAGUUAACAAAUAUUUAUUGAGGGCUUAUUUUAUGCCUGGCACAUUUUUAUUCAUUUAUUUAAUUAGUGUAUGUUUGCAAUACAUAAUAAAAACAUUCAUUGUGGGGAGAUGGUUCGUGUACAUAUCACAUCUUCAUCUUGUUUUACUUCCCCUGUCUUCCCUCCCAACUCCCCCAUCCCAGAUCCCGUUCUUUUUGGCUUGUUUGUUCCUUGCAGGGCCUUAAACCACAUAUGCUAAGCGAGGGCCCUACCGCUGAGCCCCGUCCCCAGGGACUGUUUUAGAGAGCAUUUAACAGUACGCCUGCUGCC
ensembl:lncRNA